UACGUAGGCAGCAAGCGUUGUUCGGAAUUACUGGGCGUAAAGAGUGUGUAGGCGGUGCUCUAAGUUCGGUGUGAAAUCCCCAGGCUCAACCUGGGAACUGCGUCUGAUACUGGAUGGCUUGAAUUCGGGAGAGGGAUGCAGAAUUCCAGGUGUAGCGGUGAAAUGCGUAGAUAUCUGGAGGAAUACCGGUGGCGAAGGCGGCAUCCUGGACCGACAUUGACGCUGAUGAGCGAAAGCUAGGGGAGCAAACGGG
rnacentral:rRNA from 1 species